CUGAGUUUCACAACUCUCCAACCCUGUGUGAACUGAAGUCUGGUUGCUCAGGCAGGCGGCCCCCGGGGGAGGCCGCAGCUUCUCUGAAGCGCCUGCCGGAGGAUACCUAAACUCGUUUUAAUAAGCAAACUUCUGAGUAAUAAAACAAAUGAAUCA
rnacentral:misc_RNA from 1 species